AGUGAACGCUGGCGGUAGACCUAACACAUGCAAGUCGAACGGCAGCACAGUAAGAGCUUGCUCUUACGGGUGGCGAGUGGCGGACGGGUGAGGAAUACAUCGGAAUCUACUUUUUCGUGGGGGAUAACGUAGGGAAACUUACGCUAAUACCGCAUACGACCUACGGGUGAAAGCAGGGGAUCUUCGGACCUUGCGCGAUUGAAUGAGCCGAUGUCGGAUUAGCUAGUUGGCGGGGUAAAGGCCCACCAAGGCGACGAUCCGUAGCUGGUCUGAGAGGAUGAUAAGCCACACUGGAACUGGGACACGGUCCAGACUCCUACGGGAGGCAGCAGUGGGGAAUAUUGGACAACGGUCGCAAGCCUGAUCCAGCGAUCCCGCGUGGGUGAAGAAGGCGUUCGGGUUGUAAAGCCCUUUUGUUGGGAAAGAAAAGCAGCAGGUUAAUACCACGCUGUUCUGACGGUACCCAAAGAAUAAGCACCGGCUAACUUCGUG
rnacentral:rRNA from 1 species